GCCACAUAGGCCUGGGGAAAUGUUUUGCCAACGUACUCGCAAUAGUUCCCAUGGUUUCCUUUGCUUCCAGCGGUUGCGCGGGCUUGGUUUUUGGAGCAAAGACAACUGAUACUGCUGAGGCUCCUGAGAAUGUGCCGUUUUCGAAGCUGCAGUAGCUCCAGUGUCCGGUUCUGUAGUACCGAGAGGGAGGCCUCGGGCUCCGGGGAGGAUGUGUUGCAGUUUGUCCAAGAGCCCCAAGGCCAGCAAAGCCUCCCAUUCCCCGCCGGGGAGCAGCUCUCGCUGGAACGCUUGCUCUCUGACUGGGGAAUGGAAUGGGCUCAGCCAAGGCUCCCAAAACCAGCCCUGCUGCUCCCACUUGUGGUCCCAUUCUCAAGAGCUGCUCUCUACGCCGCGGGGCAUCACUUUCGCUUCUGCCUCCUCGUGCGCCUAUUGCGGCAACUACUCACGCUCCUGCGGGACGAGGACAGGGAGGUGAGCCCGUGGCAGAGGUGUACACCUGACCUGGAGGAGGACCAUGGGCAAGACCUGAUCCCAUUGGUGCCCUGCCCUUCCAGCCUGGUACCUUGCCCCUUGAGGCAUAAUCUUUCUGAAAACUGUCCAAAGGACCUGCAUAUUGUUAAGAAGAGCUGCAAAAUGUACCAGAGAGAAAGAUCAGGUGCGAUAUCGGUGCCAUCUUGGCUUCUCCUGGGCUGAAGGUUCAGUCCCUGCUGUCGAUGAAACGGUGCGCCUCCGCAGACUCUGGGCUGCGACCUGCGGUAAUCCCCGGUACCCAAUGGAACCCACGUCCUAAGCAAAAAUAGCCACAAAUCACAGCCUGAUGUAACAGAUUUAUGUGAGCAGCGACCCUAGAACCAGACUGGGUAUCUGAAUCAUGGCUUCACUCACCACCUGCUAGCUGGCUAAUCUGGUGAGCAGUUUAUUCUCAUUUUGCCUUGGUUUAAUACUUUUUUAAAUGGAGAUAACGAUCAUACCUAAAUCAUAGAGGUGUUUUGAGGAUUAAUUGAGGUGCUUAAUUAUACAAUUUCACAAAUGACCAGACCAUGUAGCCUCACAUUUCCUACUUGACUCACUUUCAUAUUUUUUUAUUCACAAGGGAAAGAGAGAGAGUGAUUGUUAUCCUCUGGGAGCAUGUAAUGAAGAUAGAGCAUCUUCUUGUGAGAACAAUACAUGUACCGCGUUUCUAUGUACCUAUAUGUGCUUCCGUCAGGAAGCCUAUGUUGGCUGCUGCAUGUAUGAGCCCUGGGCCAGGAAAUGUGCCAGAAGACUGUGUCUUUCACUCAGCAGAUCGAUUUUCUUUCUUGGCCUAAUAUAUUUUAUUCUUAGAUACCAGAUAAUGUAAUAAACAUUACCAUGUAUUAAGUACCUACUCUGGACCCAACCCAAGAACAAGCCUUAUGAAAGUGAUAAGCAGGGGCACGAUGGUGUAAUUCACAUUUUCAUCAUCAGAUCACUCUGGCUGCUGGGUGGAGAAUGUUUAUAGGAGAAAAAAGGUGAAAGCAGGGAGACAGGACAUGAAUGCAUUAUCCCAGGUUUAAGACGAUAGUGAUUAUCUUAGGCAUGUCAGAGAAAAAAAUUAAAGGUUUGGGAAUGUGUUUCUGAGGUGGGGUCAACAGGAUUUGCUGAUAAAUUGACUAUUUGGAGUUGAAGAAAAAGAAUAAAACAGUCUAUAUGUAACCAA